GGGAAGUUUUCCGUCAAUGGGCGAAAGCCUGACGGAGCAAUGCCGCGUGGAGGUGGAAGGCCUACGGGUCGUCAACUUCUUUUCUCGGAGAAGAAACAAUGACGGUAUCUGAGGAAUAAGCAUCGGCUAACUCUGUGCCAG
rnacentral:rRNA from 1 species